rnacentral:rRNA from 1 species
GGGAAACAGGUUAAUAUUCCUGUACUUGGUGUUACUGCGAAGGGGGGACGGAGAAGGCUAUGUUGGCCGGGCGACGGUUGUCCCGGUUUAAGCGUGUAGGCUGGUUUUCCAGGCAAAUCCGGAAAACCAAGGCUGAGGCGUGAUGACGAGGCACUACGGUGCUGAAGCGACAAAUGCCCUGCUUCCAGGAAAAGCCUCUAAGCAUCAGGUAACAUCAAAUCGUACCCCAAACCGACACAGGUGGUCAGGUAGAGAAUACCAAGGCGCUUGAGAGAACUCGGGUGAAGGAACUAGGCAAAAUGGUGCCGUAACUUCGGGAGAAGGCACGCUGAUAUGUAGGUGAAGCGACUUGCUCGUGGAGCUGAAAUCAGUCGAAGAUACCAGCUGGCUGCAACUGUUUAUUAAAAACACAGCACUGUGCAAACACGAAAGUGGACGUAUACGGUGUGACGCCUGCCCGGUGCCGGAAGGUUAAUUGAUGGGGUUAGCGGCAACGCGAAGCUCUUGAUCGAAGCCCCGGUAAACGGCGGCCGUAACUAUAACGGUCCUAAGGUAGCGAAAUUCCUUGUCGGGUAAGUUCCGACCUGCACGAAUGGCGUAAUGAUGGCCAGGCUGUCUCCACCCGAGACUCAGUGAAAUUGAACUCGCUGUGAAGAUGCAGUGUACCCGCGGCAAGACGGAAAGACCCCGUGAACCUUUACUAUAGCUUGACACUGAACAUUGAGCCUUGAUGUGUAGGAUAGGUGGGAGGCUUUGAAGUGUGGACGCCAGUCUGCAUGGAGCCGACCUUGAAAUACCACCCUUUAAUGUUUGAUGUUCUAACGUUGGCCCCUAAUCGGGGUUGCGGACAGUGUCUGGUGGGUAGUUUGACUGGGGCGGUCUCCUCCUAAAGAGUAACGGAGGAGCACGAAGGUUGGCUAAUCCUGGUCGGACAUCAGGAGGUUAGUGCAAUGGCAUAAGCCAGCUUGACUGCGAGCGUGACGGCGCGAGCAGGUGCGAAAGCAGGUCAUAGUGAUCCGGUGGUUCUGAAUGGAAGGGCCAUCGCUCAACGGAUAAAAGGUACUCCGGGGAUAACAGGCUGAUACCGCCCAAGAGUUCAUAUCGACGGCGGUGUUUGGCACCUCGAUGUCGGCUCAUCACAUCCUGGGGCUGAAGUAGGUCCCAAGGGUAUGGCUGUUCGCCAUUUAAAGUGGUACGCGAGCUGGGUUUAGAACGUCGUGAGACAGUUCGGUCCCUAUCUGCCGUGGGCGCUGGAGAACUGAGGGGGGCUGCUCCUAGUACGAGAGGACCGGAGUGGACGCAUCACUGGUGUUCGGGUUGUCAUGCCAAUGGCACUGCCCGGUAGCUAAAUGCGGAAGAGAUAAGUGCUGAAAGCAUCUAAGCACGAAACUUGCCCCGAGAUGAGUUCUCCCUGAGACUUAGAGUCUCCUGAAGGAACGUUGAAGACGACGACGUUGAUAGGCCGGGUGUGUAAGCGCAGCGAUGCGUUGAGCUAACCGGUACUAAUGAACCGUGAGGCUUAACCUU